UUACGGCCACAUCAUGUUGAAAACACUAGUUCCCGCGUGAUCACCGAAGUGAAGCAACGCCGAACCUUGUCAGUACUUAGAGGAGUAACCGCUUGGGAAUACCAGUGUGCUGUAA